rfam:Lupinus angustifolius cultivar Tanjil contig_6774, whole genome shotgun sequence.
ACCAAUUCCGGCGGAUAUAAUGUUCCUCCUGGAUAAUGGCUCGGACGCUAUAUUUAUGUUGUGGUCAUCCUGACUUAUGGUUUCUUCAAUAUCGUUUGAUCUUGGAAACGCCACCGAUAUUU